rnacentral:lncRNA from 1 species
ACAACACGCUUAACGAGUGAAAUCACAAAUUCUAUUACUUCAAAUUAUAAAGACACACUUGGUACAUCAAAUAUUUCGUGGCCGAAGGUCCCAAGGCUGUCUUUAGUUAGCAGGAUACAAGUGAAUGAAAGAAACAAUAUGCAAACGCUGGCCUUCGCCACGAUCAAGCACGAGCAUAUGAUUUUCUUUGGAAUCCAUCAUCACGCCAUAAGAAGGGUUAUGAAGGACCACAUUACAGGCAUACAAAUGGAUGUCUAAGGAAAGACAUGAACCAUCAAGCUAACAAGAAUUUUCUACACUUGCCUCGAGAUAUUCAGCCUUCACCAUCAUCUGAACUUGUUUGAAUGUCUUUCAUAAUGCAAGCAACUGUCAAGCUUUUUUGUUCUGAUCAAUCUGCUCUAAUGUGAUCUUGGAGCUGCAGGCAGAUGUCAAUAGUUUGGAACAACACAUAAUUGGUAGCUACCGAUUUGUCAGAAUGGUCACACACACACACACAUUAUGAUCAUACUAAGACAGGUUCACGUCGAGGCAACAAAACUGUACUGAUUUCUCCAAUCCAGAUUCCAGCAUAUUACCCAUCUAUGUUUUUAUUUUUCCAGAUCACUUAAUUAACUAUUGUUAGAUUCCAUGAGCCAUGUCAGUUUAGCCAUCAUAUUUCCAUCUAUGAAUCAUUCUGACACUUAUAUAGAGGGACUCAAUGUUAACAGUAGUUCCAUUAAAAUUAAGCAAAGCAACAAAGAUUACUAGAUGCCAUCUCACCUGCAAGGUGUCUUAAGCAAAGUAACAGUCAGGAACCUUAAAUCUUUAACAUCAGCUGAACGAAAGACCCAUGGACAAUAAGGCUCGCUUAGCUGCAUCUCUCAUGGCAAUCAGUUCUGGGAAACUAUUCGCUCACACAACCACCGUGACUACUCCACUGAAGUAUGCACCACGAAAAGGGCAGGGCGCAUGUAGUGGCUCGUCACACAUAAGACAAUGUAGUCACAGCCUGAUCCACUGCAUGCCAGAGCGGCUUGCGACAAGGGUGACAAAAACUCACCAGUGGUGAUGAAGAUUGGCGGCAACUAGAUCCAUAGAAGCUGACUUGGGUCCGGCAGCAUAUAGUGGCAAAUUUCUUUCCUUGAAUAACCUUGGAAACAUUAGUUCAUAACCACGAUAAUUUAUGAAUUCUGAGAUGAAAAUGAAAACGCAAAUAUUUUGCUAAAGCUAGGCAGACCCAGACUAGUUGCAGGGAAUUGUGGUUAAAGAAAAAUAACAAAUGCUUGUUCACCAUAAGCUUGUGAAAAACUUAGCACCAGAAGCUAUAACUAUUGGGCAGAAUCACACACCACAAUGAGGGAAAUUUGAGAUGGUAAGGCAAAAGAAAAUGACCUUUAUUCAGUUGGUCCUGAGCCAUAUAACCAUGUGCCCUAAUUCUUCAACGUUGGGAUAAUUUGCAUUGCUAAUAAGAAUCUAUCAGCACAACUGCACCACAAGGAAAUGCAGACUAGCAUGCAUGCAAGAAGCUCCAGAAAAAAAACAAUAGAUCAUGUGGCAGCUUCAUUGCAGCAAUCUGUCCAACAAGCACAACCUGUUCCACUGCGAGCCGGCACAGCUUGCAACAAGCUUGAGGAGAAAUAAAAUUCAUGCACUUUAUUUUAAACUUCAUAUAAUGGAAAUUCAUAUCCAUGUUUCUCCAACUUCAAGUUGA